UUCGACCCUUCUUAAAGCCGAGGGUCACCUAGCCAACUGACGUUGUUAGUGAAUGAAUUUGUUCACACUAUAUAUAAGCCAAUCGCAUCAUUGCGGUUGGCUCUUUUUUU
rnacentral:sRNA from 1 species